rnacentral:rRNA from 1 species
GAGUUUGAUUCUGGCUCAGAUUGAACGCUGGCGGCAUGCUUUACACAUGCAAGUCGAACGGCAGCGCGGGCUUCGGCCUGGCGGCGAGUGGCGAACGGGUGAGUAAUACAUCGGAACGUACCUGGUAGUGGGGGAUAGCUCGGCGAAAGCCGGAUUAAUACCGCAUACGACCUCAGGGUGAAAGCGGGGGACCUUCGGGCCUCGCGCUAUCAGAGCGGCCGAUGGCAGAUUAGCUAGUUGGUGAGGUAAAGGCUUACCAAGGCGACGAUCUGUAGCUGGUCUGAGAGGACGACCAGCCACACUGGGACUGAGACACGGCCCAGACUCCUACGGGAGGCAGCAGUGGGGAAUUUUGGACAAUGGGCGCAAGCCUGAUCCAGCAAUGCCGCGUGUGUGAUGAAGGCCUUCGGGU